AUUGAACGCUGGCGGCAUGCCUUACACAUGCAAGUCGAACGGCAGCAUAGAGAGCUUGCUCUCUGAUGGCGAGUGGCGAACGGGUGAGUAAAGCAUCGGAACGUACCGUGUAGUGGGGGAUAACGUAGCGAAAGUUACGCUAAUACCGCAUACGCACUGAGGUGGAAAGCAGGGGAUCGUAAGACCUUGCGCUAUACGAGCGGCCGAUGUCAGAUUAGCUAGUUGGUAGGGUAAAGGCCUACCAAGGCGACGAUCUGUAGCGGGUCUGAGAGGAUGAUCCGCCACACUGGGACGGAGACACGGCCCAGACUCCUACGGGAGGCAGCAGUGGGGAAUUGUGGACAAUGGGGGCAACCCUGAUCCAGCCAUGCCGCGUGAGUGUAGAAGGCCUUCGGGUUGUAAAGCUCUUUCGGCCGGGAAGAAAUCGCACAGGCUAAUACCCUGUGUGGAUGACGGUACCGGCAUAAGAAGCACCGGCUAACUACGUGCCAGCCGCCGCCGUAA
rnacentral:rRNA from 1 species